rnacentral:rRNA from 1 species
CCCAGACUCCUACGGGAGGCAGCAGUGGGGGAUAUUGCACAAUGGGGGGAACCCUGAUGCAGCGACGCCGCGUGGGUGGAGGAGCGUUUCGGCGCGUAAAGCCCUAUCGGCAGGGAAGAAGGAGGACGGUACCUGACUAAGAAGCCCCGGCUAACUACGUGCCAGCAGCCGCGGUAAUACGUAGGGGGCAAGCGUUAUCCGGAUUUACUGGGUGUAAAGGGGGCGCAGACGGCAGCGCAAGCCAGGAGUGAAAGCCCGGGGCCCAACCCCGGGACUGCUCUUGGAACUGCGCGGCUGGAGUGCAGGAGGGGCAGGCGGAAUUCCUGGUGUAGCGGUGAAAUGCGUAGAUAUCAGGAGGAACACCGGUGGCGAAGGCGGCCUGCUGGACUGCGACUGACGUUGAGGCCCGAAAGCGUGGGGAGCAAACAGGAUUAGAUACCCCCGUA